UUAACUAAUUUACAUAUAAAAUAAGUUUAUUUUAAACGUUCUGAUUAACAAAUUAGUUCCUGACAAUAAUAGAAACAAUAUUUGUUUAACGUUAUAACAAGUAAUUUCUAAGAUAAGAUGGAUUUAUUGCAAUCAAUCUUGCUAUAUUAUCCUUUACAUGUUAUUAUCAGGAUUAUGAGAUGGUAAAGGGUUUUACAUCAUCUAGUUAAGCACCGAACUGGGGGAUUGAAAGCCAUUUCUGCCAUGUCAAAGUCUCUACAAAGUUCUUCUGGAGUGCUGAAAGUAAAUAAAAACAAGUUUUAAA